rnacentral:tRNA from 1 species
GAAAGCGUUAGUGAGGGGACGUGCGUCGCGGACUACUGCCGCGUCAGCUGAGCGACCCGUGCGCAGACUAUUGAUCAGGACCAAUGCGUUUCCC